rnacentral:rRNA from 1 species
AUUGAACGCUGGCGGCAGGCCUAACACAUGCAAGUCGAGCGGAUGAAGGGAGCUUGCUCCUGGAUUCAGCGGCGGACGGGUGAGUAAUGCCUAGGAAUCUGCCUGGUAGUGGGGGAUAACGUCCGGAAACGGGCGCUAAUACCGCAUACGUCCUGAGGGAGAAAGUGGGGGAUCUUCGGACCUCACGCUAUCAGAUGAGCCUAGGUCGGAUUAGCUAGUUGGUGGGGUAAAGGCCUACCAAGGCGACGAUCCGUAACUGGUCUGAGAGGAUGAUCAGUCACACUGGAACUGAGACACGGUCCAGACUCCUACGGGAGGCAGCAGUGGGGAAUAUUGGACAAUGGGCGAAAGCCUGAUCCAGCCAUGCCGCGUGUGUGAAGAAGGUCUUCGGAUUGUAAAGCACUCUAAGUUGGGAGGAAGGGCAGUUAGUUAAUACCUUGCUGUUUUGACGUUACCAACAGAAUAAGCACCGGCUAACUUCGUG